UUUAAUUUAUAAAUCUUUUUCAACAUAUCCCACUCACCUUUAUUUUGAAUCACACUCUAGAAAUGAUGGGAAUUGCCAAAGAUAAUACUGAUGACUGACUAGAUCUUUUACUGAAUCCUUAAAAUAUAUCUUCUCAAAAAGAAACGGAGUAAAUCCGUGCAGUGUUAAUGCAUUUCAGUUGGUAGAUGAACGGAUCCUUAUUCAGGCAGCUGCAGAAAAGCGUAUAUGGGCCAGCUUAUAUUUUCAGAACCAGAUUCUGUUCUCUUGUGCAAAUUUCUUGCAGUGUAACCUGUUGGGGUAAAUCCUAACCUAGAGAUUGCGAUACCAAGUUAUUUCUCCACAACUCAACUCAAAUACUUAGCUCCGCAAUGUCCUGAGCUCGAUAUUUGUAUUCCUCGUUAUCUCGAACAAUAAAUCGG